rnacentral:ribozyme from 1 species
UUUUUUUUUUUUUUUUUUUCUCCCCUUCUUCUUUUUGCGCGCCAUCGAAAA